UACGAAGGGGGCUAGCGUUGUUCGGAAUUACUGGGCGUAAAGGGCGCGUAGGCGGCUGUUCAAGUCGGGGGUGAAAGCCUGUGGCUCAACCACAGAAUGGCCUUCGAUACUGGACGGCUCGAGACCGGAAGAGGUCAGUGGAACUGCGAGUGUAGAGGUGAAAUUCGUAGAUAUUCGCAAGAACACCAGUGGCGAAGGCGGCUGACUGGUCCGGUUCUGACGCUGAGGCGCGAAAGCGUGGGGAGCAAACAGG
rnacentral:rRNA from 1 species